CAGCAGUGGGGAAUAUUGCACAAUGGGGGAAACCCUGAUGCAGCCAUGCCGCGUGUGUGAAGAAGGGCCUUACGGGUUGUAAAGCACUUUCAGUAGGGAGGAAGGUAGUGUAGUUAACACCUGCAUUAUUUGACGUUACCUACAGAAGAAGCACCGGCUAACUCCGUGCCAGCAGCCGCGGUAAUACGGAGGGUGCGAGCGUUAAUCGGAAUUACUGGGCGUAAAGCGCAUGCAGGCGGCCUGUUAAGUCAGAUGUGAAAGCCCGGGGCUUAACCUCGGAAUUGCAUUUGAAACUGGCAGGCUAGAGUCUUGUAGAGGGGGUAGAAUUUCAGGUGUAGCGGUGAAAUGCGUAGAGAUCUGAAGGAAUACCAGUGGCGAAGGCGGCCCCCUGGACAAAGACUGACGCUCAGAUGCGAAAGCGUGGGGAGCAAACAGGAUUAGAUACCCUGGUAG
rnacentral:rRNA from 1 species